GACGAACGCUGGCGGCGUGCCUAACACAUGCAAGUCGAACGGGGCUCUUUGGAUCGAGACUUCGGUCAAGUGAAUCUGAGCUUAGUGGCGGACGGGUGAGUAACGCGUGAGCAACCUGCCUUUCAGAGGGGGACAACAGUUGGAAACGACUGCUAAUACCGCAUAACGUGUCGAGGAGGCAUCUCCUUGACACCAAAGAUUUAUCGCUGAAAGAUGGGCUCGCGUCUGAUUAGCUAGUUGGUGGGGUAAUGGCCUACCAAGGCGACGAUGCGUAGCCGACCUGAGAGGGUGAUCGGCCACACUGGGACUGAGACACGGCCCAG
rnacentral:rRNA from 1 species